UAGAUACCCUGGUAGUCCACGCUGUAAACGAUGGAUACUAGCUGUUUGGUUGUAAGACUGAGUGGCUAAGCGAAAGUGAUAAGUAUCCCACCUGGGGAGUACGCACGCAAGUGUGAAACUCAAAGGAAUUGACGGGGGCCCGCACAAGCGGUGGAGCAUGUGGUUUAAUUCGAUGAUACGCGAGGAACCUUACCAAGGUUUAAAUGGAGACUGACAGGUGUAGAGAUACGCUUUUCUUCGGACAGUUUUC
rnacentral:rRNA from 1 species